UAUUAUUGAAUUUCAAAUUAACCUACCAAUAAAUUGAAUUAAGAGGAGAAGAUUUAGAGGCAACGUUGUAGCUAUGGUUUUGUCUUCUCCAACGGCCACUGGAUUCUCCUCAGAAGUAGCUGCAGCAUCAUCUCUCUGCUUCCAUGAUAGGUUCUUGGCAUAUGGGCUUGAGCAACAUCCUACAGUGCUGCUAAUUUGGUGAAAUAAUUUGAAGAAUUUGGCCAAAGCGACACAACUGGCAACUCCAUAUGGCUAUGAGGUAAUUAAUUUUAUAACUGAUACUUUUUCUGGUUUAUUUAACAGUUGCGGAUGUCUUAACCCCAGAGUCGCUGGUGGUGUGCUCUCAUGCUUGAUCCGUUGGAUUAGAUUUCCUUGCUUGAUACAUCAAACAUAUUUUUUUCUGUAUCAUUGCUCGGACACAUGCACAACUUCUACAGGGAAAGUUGUAUGCUGCAUCCAUGUGCUUAAUUGCUGCAAAUACAAGUCUUCCUGUGAAUGUCAAAUGCAGAAUUGGACUUGAUGACCAUGACUCCUACAAUGAACUAUAGCUCCUUUAGUUUCUUUAUAAUAUAUUUCCAAGCAAGUCUUUGCCGACCUUGUAACUGCUUGGACUUUCAAGGAGAUCUUAGAGAGCUUACAAUAACUUGUAACUAUGAACUAGAAGCAUAUUGCAUGACCUAGUAACUCGGAGAAGAAGCCAUGUCCUCCAAAACCGAUAUUUGUUGGGAACUUGAAAAUUGUUGGCUGAUAGAGGAUUUCCAAGAGGAUAUUCUUGUCAUCAAAGAUAUGAUCCUUUAAGAUCUUGGGAUAAUUGUGGAUAUCAUUACUCUGAUUUUCUCUUAAUGUAAAAUAUAUGAUUCUGUAGGAUCCCAGAUUUCAUGGGAUUUAGGUGAUUCUAUUCCACAAUCUCUUAUGUACAUGUAAAACCAUGUAUAUGAUAUAGAAAUAUAUGAAUGAAACUAGUAAAGUUAUAUCCGCGCCUCGCGCGGGAACUUAAUAU